UUUCCGUAGGUGAACCUGCGAAGGAUCAUUACAGAGUUCAUGCCCUCACGGGUAGAUCUCCCACCCUUGAAUAUUUAUACCUUAGUUGCUUUGGCAGGCCGUGGAAACACCAUGGGCUCCGGCUUAUGCGUGCCUGCCAGAGGAAACAAACUCUGUUUUUAGUGAUGUCUGAGUACUAUAUAAUAGUUAAAACUUUCAACAACGGAUCUCUUGGUUCUG
rnacentral:misc_RNA from 1 species